UCCAGGGUAGCCGAGUGGACAUGGCACCUGCCCGGUAAGCAGAAGGGUGUGGGUUCGAUUCCCGCCCCUGGAC
rnacentral:tRNA from 1 species